AGAUCACAACGCCUGGAACGGUGUGUGGUUGAAAGGUUACGGCAUAGGAUGGGUCUGCGGCGUAUCAGGUCGUAGGGGGUGUAAUGGACCCCCUAGCCAUCGACGCGUACGGGUGUUGGGAGACAUAGCCCGGAGACGGAUUCUGAGACACGAAUCCGGACCCUACGGGGUGCAGCAGGCGCGAAAACUUCACACUGCAGGAAAUUGUGAUGAGGGAAUUUUAAGUGGAUGUAUAUAGUGUAUUUUUUUUCUUUACUAUUAAUCGGUAUUGGAAUAAGGGCUGGGAAAGACCGGUGCCAGCCGCCGCGGUAAUACCGGCAGCUCGAGUGGUCGUCGCUUUUAUUGGGCCUAAAACGUCCGUAGCCGGUUUGGUAAAUCUGUGGGUAAAUCAACUAGCUUAACUAGUUGAAUUCUGCAGAGACUGCCAGACUAGGAACCGGGAGAGGUGUGGGGUACUCAAGGGGUAGGGGUAAAAUCCUGUCAUCCUUUGAGGACCACCAGUUGCGAAGGCGCCACACUGGAACGGAUUCGACGGUCAGGGACGAAGCCUAGGGGCACGAACCGGAUUAGAUACCCGGGUAGUCCUAGGUGUAAACGCUGUGAACUUGGUGUCGGGAGUCCGCAAUGGGCCCCCGGUGCCGGAGUGAAGAUGUUAAGUUCACUGCCUGGGGAGUACGGUCGCAAGGCUGAAACUUAAAGGAAUUGGCGGGGGAGCACUGCAACGCGAGGAGCGUGCGGUUUAAUUGGAUUCAACGCCGGAAAACUCACCAUGGCCGACUGUUAGAUGAAGACCAGCGUAAUGAGCUUGUCGGAUUUUCAGAGAGGUGGUGCAUGGCCGUCGUCAGUUCGUACUGUAAAGCGUUCUGUUAAGUCAGAUAACGAACGAGACCCUCAUCUCUAUUUGCUACCCUUCUCUCCGGAGGAGG
rnacentral:rRNA from 1 species